UCUUCGUGAUGAUAAUUACAAUGACUUUCGUUCUUCUGAGUUUAAUGAAGCCAUUUUGUUCCUGAGAAGA
rnacentral:snoRNA from 1 species